GAUGAACGCUGGCGGCGUGCUUAACACAUGCAAGUCGAACGGGAAACCUUUUAUUGAAGCUUCGGCAGAUUUAGCUGGUUUCUAAUGGCGGACGGGUGAGUAACGCGUGGGUAACCUGCCUUAUACAGGGGGAUAACAGUCAGAAAUGGCUGCUAAUACCGCAUAAGCGCACAGAGCUGCAUGGCUCAGUGUGAAAAACUCCGGUGGUAUAAGAUGGACCCGCGUUGGAUUAGCUGGUUGGUGGGGUAACGGCCCACCAAGGCGACGAUCCAUAGCCGGCCUGAGAGGGUGAACGGCCACAUUGGGACUGAGACACGGCCCAGACUCCUACGGGAGGCAGCAGUGGGGAAUAUUGCACAAUGGGGAAACCCUGAUGCAGCGACGCCGCGUGAAGGAAGAAGUAUCUCGGUAUGUAAACUUCUAUCAGCAGGGAAGAUAAUGACGGUACCUGACUAAGAAGCCCCGGCUAACUACGUG
rnacentral:rRNA from 1 species